rnacentral:rRNA from 1 species
GUUGUAUAGUUAAGUGACUAAGCGUACAAGGUGGAUGCCUUGGCAAUCAGAGGCGAAGAAGGACGUGCUAAUCUGCGAAAAGCUUGGAUGAGUCGAUAAGAGGCGUUUAAUCCAAGAUAUCCGAAUGGGGAAACCCAGUAGAUGAAGAAUCUACUAUCAACAAGUGAAUUCAUAGCUUGUUGAGGCAAACCGGGAGAACUGAAACAUCUAAGUACCCCGAGGAAAAGAAAUCAACCGAGAUUUCGUCAGUAGCGGCGAGCGAAAGCGAAAGAGCCAGUAAGUGAUAGCAGUAUAGUGAGGAGAAUGUGUUGGGAAACACAAUCAAAGAGGGUGAUAAUCCCGUAUCUAAAAACCAUAUUGUGGUACUAAGCUAACGAGAAGUAGGGCGGGACACGUGAUAUCCUGUUUGAAGAAGGGGGGACCAUCCUCCAAGGCUAAAUACUCCUGAUUGACCGAUAGUGAACCAGUACUGUGAAGGAAAGGCGAAAAGAACCCCGGUGAGGGGAGUGAAAUAGAACCUGAAACCUUGUACGUACAAGCAGUGGGAGCCCCAUCACUUAAUCCGAUUGGAAGGUGAUGAAAAGCAACCGCACUUAAACAAUGGUAAGAGGAGCGAAGCGAGUCAAACCACCCAAAAGAAGCAGUGGGAUUAAGUGAUGGGGUGACUGCGUACCUUUUGUAUAAUGGGUCAGCGACUUAUAUUUUGUAGCGAGGUUAACCGAAUAGGGGAGCCGAAGGGAAACCGAGUCUUAACUGGGCGAAUAGUUGCAAGGUAUAGACCCGAAACCCGGUGAUCUAGCCAUGGGCAGGUUGAAGGUUGGGUAACACUAACUGGAGGACCGAACCGACUAAUGUUGAAAAAUUAGCGGAUGACUUGUGGCUGGGGGUGAAAGGCCAAUCAAACCGGGAGAUAGCUGGUUCUCCCCGAAAUCUAUUUAGGUAGAGCCUUGAGGUGACACCUUUGGGGGUAGAGCACUGUUUCGGCUAGGGGUCCAUCCCGGAUUACCAACCCGAUGCAAACUACGAAUACCAAAGAGUGAUACUCAGGAGACACACGGCGGGUGCUAACGUCCGUCGUGGAGAGGGAAACAACCCAGACCGCCAGCUAAGGUCCCCAAGUCUAUAUUAAGUGGGAAACGAAGUGGGAAGGCUUAGACAGCUAGGAUGUUGGCUUAGAAGCAGCCAUCAUUUAAAGAAAGCGUAAUAGCUCACUAGUCGAGUCGGCCUGCGCGGAAGAUGUAACGGGGCUGAAAUAUAGCACCGAAGCUGCGGCAUCAGNNCGAAUGCUGACAUAAGUAACGAUAAAACGGGUGAAAAACCCGUUCGCCGGAAGACCAAGGGUUCCUGUCCAACGUUAAUCGGGGCAGGGUGAGUCGGCUCCUAAGGCGAGGCUGAAAAGCGUAGUCGAUGGGAAACAGGUUAAUAUUCCUGUACUUGGUAAAGCUGCGAUGUGGGGACGGAGUAGGUUAGGUUAUCGCACUGUUGGAUAUGUGCGUUUAAGUUGGUAGGUGGGAAGUUUAGGCAAAUCCGGGCUUCCUUAACACAGAGAGAUGAUGACGAGGCUCUACGGAGCUGAAGUAACUGAUACCACACUUCCAGGAAAAGCCACUAAGCGAAAGGCUUUACUAAACCGUACUGAAAACCGACACAGGUGGUCAGGUAGAGAAUACUCAGGCGCUUGAGAGAACUCGGGUGAAGGAACUAGGCAAAAUAGCACCGUAACUUCGGGAGAAGGUGCGCCGGCGUAGAUUGUAAGGGCUAGCCCCUGAAGGUUGAACCGGUCGAAGAUACCAGCUGGCUGCAACUGUUUAUUAAAAACACAGCACUCUGCAAACACGAAAGUGGACGUAUAGGGUGUGAUGCCUGCCCGGUGCUGGAAGGUUAAUUGAUGGUGUAAUCGAAAGAGAAGCACCUGAUCGAAGCCCCAGUAAACGGCGGCCGUAACUAUAACGGUCCUAAGGUAGCGAAAUUCCUUGUCGGGUAAGUUCCGACCUGCACGAAUGGCAUAAUGAUGGCCAGGCUGUCUCCACCCGAGACUCAGUGAAAUUGAAAUCGCCGUGAAGAUGCGGUGUACCCGCGGCUAGACGGAAAGACCCCGUGAACCUUUACUAUAGCUUGACACUGAACAUUGAAUUUUGAUGUGUAGGAUAGGUGGGAGACUUAGAAGUAGUCACGCCAGUGAUUAUGGAGUCGACCUUGAAAUACCACCCUUUAACGUUUGAUGUUCUAACGAAGAUGACGAAACGUGGUCUCGGACAGUGUCUGGUGGGUAGUUUGACUGGGGCGGUCUCCUCCCAAAGCGUAACGGAGGAGCACGAAGGUUUGCUAAUCACGGUCGGACAUCGUGAGGUUAGUGCAAUGGUAUAAGCAAGCUUAACUGCGAGACAGACAAGUCGAGCAGGUACGAAAGUAGGUCAUAGUGAUCCGGUGGUUCUGAAUGGAAGGGCCAUCGCUCAACGGAUAAAAGGUACUCCGGGGAUAACAGGCUGAUACCGCCCAAGAGUUCAUAUCGACGGCGGUGUUUGGCACCUCGAUGUCGGCUCAUCACAUCCUGGGGCUGAAGUAGGUCCCAAGGGUAUGGCUGUUCGCCAUUUAAAGUGGUACGCGAGCUGGGUUUAGAACGUCGUGAGACAGUUCGGUCCCUAUCUGCCGUGGGCGUAGGAGAAUUGGUUGGGGCUGCUCCUAGUACGAGAGGACCGGAGUGGACGCACCACUGGUGUUCCGGUUGUGUCGCCAGACGCAUUGCCGGGUAGCUAAGUGCGGAAGAGAUAAGUGCUGAAAGCAUCUAAGCACGAAACUUGCCAAGAGAUGAGUUCUCCCAAUCUAAGAGAUUGUAAGGGUUGUUGUAGACUACGACGUAGAUAGGUCUGGUGUGUAAGUGUAGUGAUAUUUUG